CCACGAUGUCAAGACUCGGCCUUCCUCUAGUAUUUUUAUUCGUCUGGGCUUGGGCAAGCGCAUACGUUUUGGAAGAAAGUGGACCUGACGGAAUUCAUUCCUACAGACUAGUUGAGCUGCAGACCAACCCUCUCAGCAAAAGAUGGUAUGACAUGCCUGACUUGGGGCUUGGCAACAGAAUGGUUAUUUCAAACACGUUAGCGGAUACACAACAAGAGCAAAGAAACAGACAAGCACACUACAUCUUACGGAACCCACAGAAUCAUUACAUGAGUCGAAGGAUUUCGAAGAGAUUAAAGUGGAUAUAUUAAAAAUCAUUGAUGUAUUGAAAACAGAUUUUU